CCUAUUUAUAUAAAUGCUGCAUUUCGUGCAUCUGCCAACAAUGAAGCCUAUUUAUUCAUGAACAAUGAAUAUGUAUUGAUUAAUUAUGCUCGUGGAAGCACAAACGAUUAUAUUAUAAAUGGGCCAUUAUAUAUUUGUGAUGGAUAUCCAUCACUUGCCCGUACACCAUUCGGAGAACAUGGAAUAGAUUGUGCCUUUGACACUGACAAAACCCAGGCUUACAUUUUCUCUGCAAACCUUUGUGCCUUGAUAGACUAUGCUCCAAGAACCACAGAUGACAAAAUAGUCUCAGGUCCUAUGACAAUUACUGACAUGUUUCCUUUCUUCAAGGACACAGUGUUCGAAAGAGGGUUAGAUGCUGCAUUCAGGGCACAUAGUAGCAAUGAAGCUUACUUGUUCAGAGGAGGACAUUAUGCUCUUAUAAACUAUUCAUCCAAGAAACUCAUUCACAUUGAAACCAUUAGACAUGGGUUUCAUAGUUUGAUAGGUACUGUCUUUGAGAAUGGAGUUGAAGCAGCUUUUGCUUCUCACGCGACCAAGGAAGCUUAUCUCUUCAAAGGAGAGUACUAUGCAAAUAUUUAUUAUGCUCCAGGCACAACUGAUGACUACCUUAUCGGUGGUAGAGUCAAGCCUAUUCUUUCCAAUUGGCCCUCGUUGAGCAGCAUACUGCCACGCGACAAUGGUAGGCUUGACCUUCGUUCUCAUAAGGAUCAUACAGAUGAAGACUAUGGCCCCGUUGAACUUUAAAAGUACUAGCUGCAAGGAGCAUUCAUCAGUUUGCUAUUUUUAUGUUUCUGUUUUAGUUGCUUUUCUAUUAAGUUGCCCAUGUUUAGGGAUUUGUUGCUUGCUAGUACGUGAGGCAUUUUCUCUAUUUUCUUGUUUGUCAGUUGUAGAGCUAAGUCUAUAAACUUGGCCAAGUUUCUGUUUUGUUGAAUAAAAGAAUAAGAAUGGGUGCUUCUGAUCCACAGGCUACACAUAUAACUAUAUUUAAAUCGCCUGAAUAACAAUGUCUUCAGAUCUGCAACGUGGAUGACGCCAAAGUCAUUGAUUGGAUCUGCACUGGAUCGAAGCUGAUCUGACAAUCUGAACCGAUCAAAUACCUGAGAGAAACAAGAAAAACAAACAAUUUCGCAAAAAGACAACGAACAAACCAACGUCACACGAAGAUGACGAAAUCACAAAAUAAAAAACAAAGAAGAUGUGACAAACGAGAGGGAUGAUUUUGGGUCAAAAAUUGACCUAAAUCACCCAUCUUUGGUGGAUGAAAGAGAAGUAACUAGAGUUUAGGUGACGGCUCACAAGAGAGAAAGGGAAAAGAGAAAACUUAGCAUACAUUUGGUAUUUGUUUUUGAUAUUGGAGGCAAAUUUAAUUUUUUCUCAAAUUUCUACUAUUCUAGCUCAAAUCACUGUCUACAUUUAUAGGACAUUACUCAAUAUUUUUAUCAAUAUUGAUAUAAUUUAAAAUAUUCCAUUAUCUUAAAGAAAUUAAAUUUCUUUUAUCCUUUAACUUAUUUCAAUUAUCUACCUAACUUCAAAAAAAUCUUAUUUUGAUGAAAAUAUAACUAAUGAGAUCACACAUUCAUCUGAAAAAUCUUUUCGUGUUGUGUAAUCUUUAUACAUAUUUGAUCAAUUAAUUAAUUAAUUAAUUCUACUGAGGUACGUUUUGAACAUCUUUUACAAUAUUAUUUUAUUUGAUUCAAAAAAUUUAAAGCUUUAGAUGAGGAUGAAUUGAAAAGUCAUUGAAAAAGUUUUUACGCUUUAAUAGAUAUUUUGAUAUUGAUGGUCUUAAUUUAUUUUCAGAAUUGAAAGUACUUUGAGAAGUGUUAAUAGAAGAAAUUAGCUAAGCGCACCGAUAGAAGUAUUGACUUAUAUUAAAACUCUAAAUAUUUUUUCCAAAAUGUUUGUAUUGCAUAUAGAAUUUUAUUUACAAUCUUGGUAGUAACAAAUGCUACUGUUAAAAUAAGUUUCUCAAAAUUAAAAUUGCUUAAAUAAAUCAUAUUUAAGGUCAACGAUUGUACAAGAUUCUCUACCAAAUCAUGGAGACUAAUACUAGUGGUUCUAAUUUUCAAAUCAAAGAUGGAAAAUCAUUUCUUUCUGUUUUUCAAGUGGAUGCAUCUGACACCCAGAUCAUUGUCCCUGUCUCUGCUCAUAAUGUACAAGAAAUUCCAUCUUGUGAUGUUAUGAUCUUGGUUCAAGUAGCACAUCAUCAUGAAAGUGGUGGAAUUUCUUCUCAACUUGAUCACAUGAAUGAUAAUAUUGGCAGACCAAAGAAGAAUGAUGAAAAAGGUAUCGACGGUGUCUAUUGCACCAUAUCAUGUGAUCAUGAUUACAGAUUGAAUGAAGAAAUUGGAAUCUAUUGCACUAGGUGCAGCUUUGUGAAUAUAGAGAUAAAAGAUAUAACACUACACUUUGUAAGUCAAAUUCUUUACUAUAUUGGCUUAUAAAAAAAAAGUUUUUGAAAAUUCUUGAAAGUUUUGAAAAUCCAAACAUUCGGUUUGAUUAUUCAUACAUAAAGUUUUGUUUUCAAAAGGUCCGGUUGAAUAUUAAUAUCAGAUAUUUUGAAUUCUAAAACCGAAAGUUUGAUCUUUCAAAAUAUCCGGUAUUAAUAUUUAAAUCGGACAUUUUAUAAACAAAACUUACAAAAUUGGAUAUUUUUAAAACUUUUGAUAUAUAUAUAUUUUUUUAACUUUAGUGCUCGCUCCGUCCAAGUUUAACUAACUCAUUUGUAAAAAAAUAUUGUCCCAAGAAUCUUGACUCAUUUCACUUUUCAAUACAACAUUAAUUUUUUUUUUUCAAUUAUAACUCUAAUUAAUAUUACUUUCACAACUUUCAAUUCAAUAUAUUCAACUUUACAUUUAUGAUAAAGAAGAAUACACCAAUACUUGAAAAAGGCACUCAAAACUAAUUUUCUCUCUCUUUCCUUUAUACACUUUUCUUAAUCUCUGUGAAAUGGAAAAUUGGCUCAGUUAAACUUAAACUGGGACAGAGGGAGUAUAUGAUAAGGCAACAAAAAUUUAGCUCCAAAUCAUAUCACACUAGAGUUCGAUCGCAUACUUCUUUAAAGAGGAGAGUUGUUGAAGCUCAAGCAAGGGUGACCUUUUUGCAAUUAGUGAUGAAUGAGUUCAAGCAAGAUAUUCAUCACAAAUUGUAGGAGGCUGGAAUGCACGAGGCAGAGUAUCAAUAUGUGCCUCAACAAGCGAGAAUGAUCAGGAUGAUGUAGGAGAGUAUCCAUAGUAUUUUUAUUUUAGCUUAAUUUUAAUAAUUUUCUGUUUUUGUUUUAGUUUGUUAUUUUCGGCCCAUUAGAGUUUUGUUAUUUCCUUAUUUAAGCUUAACAAUUGUAGCCUGUUUGGUUCGAGAAUUGGGAGAGGAGGGGGAGGGAGAGGGAUUUUAAAAUUAUUUUACCGUUUUACCCUUAAACUUAAUUAAAUAAAAGAAACUACUUGAUUUUACGAUUUCAGAGAUAGACGAAUGACAAGCACACAUCUAAUUUGCUUAUUUUAGCUCAAACUGACUCAUAUAUUUUACACAACAAGACAUGAAUCGGUAAAUUAACAUUGAAAUAAAAAAGGAACAACAAACAAUAAUAAGUUGAAUUAAAAUAAGAUAAUAAUAAUAAAGGAACAACAAACAAUAAUAGUUUUUGUUUCUACCUUCCCGACAAAUAAACCAAGAUCAUGAUCGACACCAAUUAUGUAAGUGUGACAUUUUUUCCAAUUUUCUCCGCUACAUACUUCGCGUCCCCAACCGGUAUCUAUCCAUUCCAACCAUUGAAAAUACUUUUCCGAAUUUCCCAAGUCUCCGGACAUGUUGCAAACAAAUGGCUUACUGACUCAAGGUCAUUGAAACAAAACACACAUUCUACACUCUAGUAGAAUUUUUCUCAAGCAAUAAUCUCCAUCCGAAUAAGCGCAACUUAUAGAUGGAACCGACGUUUUCCAAAGGCGUUUCACAGCUGCAACAAAAUCAUAAUCGGUAUCCACUUCUGUCACAAGCCUUGACAGCAGCACAUAGCUGCAAAUUACUGUGAAACUUGCCGCUCGAUCGGUUGUCCAGAUAAAUGAGUCUGCAACAUUAUCUUGCAGCUGCACAUGUGUUAACUUUAGAAUGUCAUCCCAAGCCACUUAAGAUUUUUUUCACUGGCUUUCCCUCAAGGUCGGCAUCUUGUCACAGGAAAAAACGAACCCCCCUUACCUAACACGCGGAUCUUAAUCUAGUGUAAUCGUAUAUGUGAGUUGAGAUUCAUCAAUCAGGCUCAAUCCAUUGGCUAAAUGAAAUAUCACAACUCACAUGACACUUUUUCAUUUUCUUUGGAGCAUUCUUUUAACAACUCAAAUAAUUCCAUGAUAAUAACUUCAAUAUAUUUUACAUCAUCAAAUACCUUCUUAUUUAUACAACACUUUCUUUUAGUUUUCACAGUGAAAAUAUCAAGGAAUAAUUAAUUAAUAUGCACACAAAUCCAAUUCAGAAUAACACACACACAUAUAGUCUUAGUUUCAACUUGCAAAUUUUAUUCUUCUGACAUAUUGUACCAACAUGUACAACAUAAUUUAAACCAUCAAAUUAAGAUUACAAAUAACCUCAGAACAGAAAGAUAGGUUCUUGUUGUUGUGAUGUAUUAGUAUCCCUUUGGUCCUUUCCCUAGCAAAGUCAGCAAGAAUUCCAUGUAGUCACCCGAGGUAUCUCCAAUGACAUCUUCAUCAAGACUACUUGAUUUGUACAUGUUAGCAUACUCGAAUCUCACUUUCAACAAGUCGAUUUCAGCUCGAGUUACAAUAGCUCUGUUGAGUGAAUCUUCAUCAGUUCCUAGCCCGACAAUAGAAUCCCUUAUAACCUGUUGGGCAUAGAAGUGGACCAAAAUGAAAUUGCAAUCACUUUCUGAAUGAGUAAUCUUGAUAUAGCUUCAAAGAAAUUAGAGUAAAUGGAUACUUUGAUAUUUUAAUGAUGAAAUGUCAUAAUGUUGGUACUCCUAUAAAAAUAUUCGUCAAAAUAGUCCUAUGAAACGACUGCAUUGAUGUCAAAAUUUGAUCUUAGAAACCACCUUAAUGAAAUUUUCAUUAGAAGAUCGAACGAAAGAUACAUUGUAUAUUUGAAAGAAAAAAGGAAUUAGUGUAUAUAUAUAUAUAUAUAUAUAUAUAUAUAUCAUCUCAAAAAGAAAAGGAAGGAAAAGAUUGAAUGAAACAUUACUGUCAUGUAUAAUCGACCAUCUUUCAAAGGAAAAAGUUCAUUGUAGAUGUUUCUUUUAGAUUUUGAGAGGUUUCAAACACAAUUCGAUUAGAAGCAAGACAAAUUUGCUUUGAUUAAAAGUUUCAGAAAACACAUAAUAUGUGUCGGAGUAUGCAAUAUCGUCUUUGCAUGGAGAAGAAUCUCAACUAAACAAGCUAAAUUCUCAAUGCGAGCUAUCUGUAACCUAGACAACUAGCAUGUGUAACAUAUCUAAUCUUAGAAAAUAAUCAUUAGUGUGUAAUGGGUCGGAGCCGGCAUCUGCUCCAACACGGAACCUAAACCUUCGUAAAAUCAUAAAAUCAAUAAAACUUCUAUAACAAUUCUAACAAUUCAUAACAACCUAGACCUAAACAAUUCUAACAUCAAUUCUAACCUAAACCUAAACUAUCAUAAAAUCAAAAUCUAAACCUAACAAUUCUACAACAAUUCAUCAAAACCUAAACCUAAACCUAAACUAUCAUAAAAUCAAUAAAACCUCUAUAAUUGAAAUUUAACAAAAAAAAAAAAAAAAACUAACAAUUUAAUCACAAAACAGCAAUACAAUAGGAUUCAAAACACUUACUUGAUUUUUGCUUAGAAUUGGCUUAAGCUUGGUGAAAAUCGCACUUAGGAAUAUCAAAAACGCAACAAUGGAUUUUGGAAACUCAUAUAUACUUGAUUUUGCACUUAGAAUUGGCUUGGAAUGACUUAAGCUUGGUGAAAAUCGCACCUAUGAAUAAAAAAAACGCAACAAUAGAAUUUUGAAAAUUCAUGUUCUGUUCUUACAACAAGAGACUUUUUGUCUUUUACAUGUGUUUUUUUCAGUCUUGUCAAAUGCGUGAACAAUUUUCUAAUUACAUUAUCUAAGAAUGGAUUCAAAGUGUCAUGCGUCAAAUUUUGAUUGGCAAGUUCGGAUUUCCUUUAGUUGCUUCCAAGAUAAGAUCAAUCUUUCAUUAGACAAAUAAAAAACGUUUUUUAAAUGUCAAGGGAUAUUUAUUAAAUGUGCGUCUUGUGUACGUGUAUAUAUAUGCAUGAAGUAUUGGGCACUAUUGCAUACACCAUCCAUCCAUCCAUAUAUACAAAAGUGAAUUAAGAUCAUCAUGUCUUCAAUCCCUCCAAGUUCAGAAGCCAGAGUGUGUGCAGCAAACUUUCCACUGCCGGUGAGGCAAGAAGACAUAGCAGAAGCCCAACGUCUGGCGAGCAAUCUUGACCGCGUUAACCGACCGAUCUUGGGGCAUGAGGUUGCGGGCAGAGUGGACGACUUUGAAUUUGAUAUCCGGCGUCCAGUGUAUCGAUGGACCACGAGGCCUUACCAGGAGAUCUUAGCAAACGGGUUCCAAGCACCAGCUCAAGGAAACACUCCCAACAACACUUACUAUAAUCUUGACGACUUUGUCCAUAAUGCUGGGGCGCCUCUUGACCCCAACAGGCCUGUAGCUCAUGUCUUUAUUAGCACCACUGUUAAUAAUGCAUGGCGCCCAAAUCCUUCAACUGAUGUCCUCCCGAUAGGAAGUCAGAUUCAAUUGUAUCGUUAUGAGAUCUUUGCUCCUGGUGGUAUUUGGGUCGCUGUCUCCCUUAUGGGUCGCUAUCAGCACCCUAAUCAAGCUGAAAUUACCUUUGUUGCUGGCAUCCAACCUCAAUACAUUCGCUCUGUUCAAAUAUACACCGCCACGCGUCGGGCACCCGGGUUAGUAUUUAAAAAUGAAUGACAAUGACUAAUUUCACAUAUAUAUCUUUUUUUUUUUUAUAAGGGAGUGAUAUUUGGACAACCGAAAUCAAACAACUUUAGUGACAACCUUUUUUUUUUUUUUUUCUCUUCUUGAGUUUAACUAUCAGCUAAAAGCUAUCAACUAUCCGCUAGCUUAUAAGCUAUCCGCUAUUUUUAGCAAAGAGAGCUUUAAACAGGGCCAUCUUAACAAAUUCAUAGGCCCGGUUUUAAUUUUAGGGUUAAAUAUGUUUUUGGUUCCUAUAAAAUAGGGACCUUUCAAGUUUAGUCCUUACUUAAUUUUAAUGGUUCUUUUAGUCCCUAAAAAUAAAAAUCUGCACUCACUAUUAGUCCCUCCUCAAUUCAAAUUUGUUGCAUAGGAACUUUUAGUAAUGUUCUUAACACGUCUGUAAAAAAUUGUUCAAAAACUCAAGAGUUUAAACAUAAAUUAAACAAAUUUGAAUUGAGGAGGGACUAAUAGUGAGUGCAGAUUUUUAUUUUUAGGGACUGAAAGAACCAUUAAAAUUAAGUAAGGACUAAACUUGAAAGACCCCUAUUUUAUAGGGACCAAAAACAUAUUUAACCCUUAAUUUUAUAAGGGAUGCAAAAAAAAAAAAAAAAAUCUGGGCCAAAAAAAAUAAAUAAGUUAUUUUAAAAAAAAUAAAUUAGAAAUCACACCUGGUGGGUCUUGAACACAUGACCUCACACUCAACAAAAAGCGACAAUGCCACUGAAGCAAGCUGCACAAAUUGAAAUAGUUUUCUUUUAAUAGAUAUAUAACCAUUAUUUUCGUGUCUUGCAUAUAAAAAAAAUAUUUUGGGUCCCAAAAAAUUGGAGGUCCGGUGUCGUCACCCAGCCUCGACGGGCUAUGGGCCGGCCCUGUCUUUAAACGCAUAACAUUCAUGUUUCGGUCAUCACUCAUUUCCAUGUCCAUUUAGAGUGAGGUACGUUUAGUACUAUGCCAUGUCAGCGCCUCCUUUUUAAAUUUGUAGUUUAGGACAUAAAUUCAUAUUGCAUAAUUUUUUUAAACAAUAAAAUUACAUAAAUCGUUAGAUAAAAAAUUUUCUCAAUUAAAUUAUUAAAUUGAAAGUCAUCAUUAUUCUUUUGUUGUUCUUCUCAUCUUCUUGUUCUUCAUUUUCAUUUUCAUCUUCGUCCAUGUUCAUCCUUCUUCUUCAUUCAUCUGUUUUUCCCCACCACAUUUCGAUUCCUAUCAACAAAUAAAUAAGCAAAACCCAUAAACUAACAUCCAAAAACUCAUCCCAAACCACAUAGAAGGUUGCAGAGGCUGUGGCAGCGGUGGCUUACAUAAUUUAAUUUUUAUUUUAAAUUAGAUUUUACUUUGGAAGAUAAAUAAAAAAUUAUAAAAAGUUUAAGGCCUACUAUACAAAUUUUAAAACUUCUCAUGACAUGACAUUACUGACACUUUCUUAUUGGCUAAAACUAAAGGGGCAACCUAUCCCCCUAAAUCACAUGUGCCUUUAAUUUCAUAAAUCGAAUUUUGGUAAUAUGUUUGGCAGAGCCGUCUUAACAAAUUCAUAGGCUUGGUUUUAAUUUUAUAAGGGACGUAAAAAAAAAAAAAAAUUCUACGCCCCAAAAAAAUAAAUAAGUUAAUUUAAAAAAAGAAUAUUAGAAAUCACACUUGGUAGGUCUUGAACAUAUGACCUCACACUCAACAAAAAGCAGCCUUGCCACUAAAGCAAGCUGCACAUAUUGAAAUAAUUUGCUUUUAAUAGAUAUAUAACAAUUAUUUUUGUGUCUUGCAUAUAAAAAAAAUAUUUUGGGCCCCAAAAAAUUGGAGGCCUGGUGUCGUCGCCCAGCCUCGACGGGCUAUGGGCCGGCCCUGAUGCUUGGUAGUGGAGAUAGUAUAUAUAUAUAUAUAUAUAUCACCUAAAAAUACUAAGGAUCUGUUUGGUUCGAGAUUUUUGGAAGGGAGGGGAGAAUUUUAAUUUGAUGUGUUUAGUUCAAUUUUAAGAAUGGAAGGGGAUGGCAGCAAAUUUUAUUGCACUGCCAAAAUUAUCCUUAUAAUAAUUUAAAAUCUCAAUAUUAUCUUUAUAACAACAUUUAUUAUUAUUAGGUUAUAUUAUCUUGAAACAACAACAAUUAUUAUUAUUAUUAUUAUUAUUAUUAUUAUUAUUAUUAUUAUGUUAGCUUGUUUAAUAUUGUAACGACUUUUAUUAUUAUUAUUAUUAGGUUAUAUUAUCCUUGUAACAACUUUUAUUCCAUAUUAUUAACAACCUUUCCUUGUAACAAUUUUUAUUGCUACUUGUAACAACCUUAUUACUAAUCCAUUAUUUCGUCUUCUACAUCGUAGGCUUAUCGAUUACAUCGUGAUUGUUUCGUUACUUUGUUAUCCUUAUUUAAUUAAGCCUAAGGAUAAAACUGUAAAAUAAUUUUAAAAUCUCACUCCUCCCCUUGCGGACCAAACACGUUUUUAAUUAAAAUAUCUCCCAUCCCCUCUGUUAAAAUCCCUCCCCUCCCUUCCUAAUUCUCGAACCAAACAGACCCUAAAAUGUAAGUUAGCAGGUUACACCCAUUUAUAUUUUACUAAAUUACAUUAGUUUUAAAUAAAAGGGCAAUUUUGUAAGGAAAUAAACGUUCUCCUAUUUUUGCGGCAGAGUUUCAGGGAUUUUGGAUUACUUUGUUCUAAGGACUCCUGAUUACUUUUUCUUUGUUUCGUAUACAUUUGCAUGCAUAAACAAACCAUGAGUGCAUUGACUAGUAAAGAAAAACUCGAGUUUAUUUUUUUUCUCUUUAAAAAAAAAAAACAAUGGCAUGCUUAAGGGACAAAACAUGUAAUAUGGAUAAACUUUCAAGAAAACAAUAUUUGGAAUGAUGAAAGUGAGUGUAAAUUAGUGAAGUUUGCUAACUUGCAUCUUAAUAAUACUUAUAAAAAUGAGUGUAAAUAAUCGAAUAGGUGUAGGUUGCUAACUUGCACCUUAAUAAAUUUUAGGUGAGUGUAACUUGCUAACUUGCACUUUAGUGUUUUUAGGUGGAUGUAAGUUGGCGGCCCCCAUAUAUAUAUAUAUAUAUAUAUAUAUAUAUAUAUUAAUUUCAUAUUUUCCUUUAAAGAGAAUUUAAUUUAAUAUUUGUAAUUGUAACAACUAAAGAAACAAGUUCAAAAAAAAAAAAAAACUAACCUGAAUUUUCUUAUCUUGAAUUAUACAAUGUAGGUUUCCGACAAUGACAAGAGAAAGAAGAUUGAUAAUGAACGGUCAUUUCCGUCCACACAUGGAUCUUCAAUUCACAAUUCAUACACCUAUAACCUUUUACAUUGAUGACAAUGGGAUACGACGGGAGCUGCCUGAAGAAACUUAUACACCUCAUGAAAGAGAUCAGGUACAGAAAAGAGAUGUAUCAUCAUCUCAGGAUAAUGAAGAAGUUGAGUUGCAUAGCUAUGGCGCGGUGGAAAAUAUACCUAUUUAUAUAAAUGCUGCAUUUCGUGCAUCUGCCAACAAUGAAGCCUAUUUAUUCAUGAACAAUGAAUAUGUAUUGAUUAAUUAUGCUCGUGGAAGCACAAACGAUUAUAUUAUAAAUGGGCCAUUAUAUAUUUGUGAUGGAUAUCCAUCACUUGCCCGUACACCAUUCGGAGAACAUGGAAUAGAUUGUGCCUUUGACACUGACAAAACCCAGGCUUACAUUUUCUCUGCAAACCUUUGUGCCUUGAUAGACUAUGCUCCAGGAACCACAAAUGACAAAAUACUCUCAGGUCCUAUGAAAAUUACUGACAUGUUUCCUUUCUUCAAGGACACAGUGUUCGAAAGAGGGUUAGACGCUGCAUUCAGGGCACAUAGUAGCAAUGAAGCUUACUUGUUCAGAGGAGGACAUUAUGCUCUUAUAAACUAUUCAUCCAAGAGACUCAUUCACAUUGAAACCAUUAGACAUGGGUUUCCUAGUUUGAUAGGUACUGUCUUUGAGAAUGGACUUGAAGCAGCUUUUGCUUCUCACGGGACCAAGGAAGCUUAUCUCUUCAAAGGAGAGUACUAUGCAAAUAUUUAUUAUGCUCCAGGCUCAACUGAUGACUACCUUAUCGGUGGUAGAGUCAAGCUUAUUCUUUCCAAUUGGCCUUCGUUGAAGAAGAUACUGCCACGCAACAAUGGUAGGCUUGAUCUUCAUACUCAUAAG
rnacentral:lncRNA from 1 species